GCCUGUGUGGCAUAGUGGUUUUAAAUGUUGGACUAUGACUCUGGAGACCAGGGUUCAAUUCCCAGCUCAGCCA